CUACGGGAGGCUGCAGUGGGGAAUAUUGCGCAAUGGGCGAAAGCCUGACGCAGCAACGCCGCGUGAGGGAUGAAGGCCUUCGGGUUGUAAACCUCUUUCAGCAGGGAAGAAGCGAAAGUGACGGUACCUGCAGAAGAAGCACCGGCUAACUACGUGCCAGCAGCCGCGGUAAUACGUAGGGUGCAAGCGUUGUCCGGAUUUAUUGGGCGUAAAGAGCUCGUAGGCGGUUAGUCACGUCGGAUGUGAAAAUCCAAGGCUUAACCUUGGACCUGCAUUCGCUACGGGCUGACUAGAGUGUUGUAGGGGAGACUGGAACUCCUGGUGUAGCGGUGAAAUGCGCAGAUAUCAGGAAGAACACCGAUGGCGAAGGCAGGUCUCUGGGCAACUACUGACGCUGAGGAGCGAAAGCGUGGGGAGCAAACAGGAUUAGAUACCCCCGUAGUC
rnacentral:rRNA from 1 species